rnacentral:snoRNA from 1 species
GAAGCAGAGAAUGUGUGUAUCGGCUUAGUGCGACCUUAUGCGCUUUGUACGAAAGAAUUCUUUGCAAAAUCGAUUUGGGGCAGAUGGGCAGUUGUGAUUCAUUGUCAAUUGAAUAGCUCAACAAUCAUCUUCCCCACAUUU